CCUACGGGGGGCAGCAGUGGGGAAUAUUGCACAAUGGGGGAAACCCUGAUGCAGCGACGACGCGUGAGUGAAGAAGUAUUUCGGUAUGUAAAGCUCUAUCAGCAGGGAAGAAAAUGACGGUACCUGAUUAAGAAGCCCCGGCUAACUACGUGCCAGCAGCCGCGGUAAUACGUAGGGGGCAAGCGUUAUCCGGAUUUACUGGGUGUAAAGGGAGCGGAGACGGCAGAACAAGGAUGGAGUGAAAUGCCUGGGCUUAACCCCGGGACUGCUUUGGAAACUGUGCAGCUAGUGUGCAGGAGAGGUAAGGGGAAUUCCUAGUGUAGCGGUGAAAUGCGUAGAUAUUAGGAGGAACACCAGUGGCGAAGGCGGCUUACUGGACUGUAACUGACGUUGAGGCUCGAAAGCGUGGGGAGCAAACAGGAUUAGAUACCCUGGUAGUC
rnacentral:rRNA from 1 species